rnacentral:lncRNA from 1 species
GAAGCUCAAGCGGAGCCCGCUGGCCGCAGGGGCCGCACCACGCCCCAGACCCUGGAGUUUCCGGGUGCGCAGACCCUUGCCAUCAGCAGAGGCUGCCGCUGCGCGUCCCCUAGGCGCGGAAGAGGCGGCUGGUGGUCCCUGACGGCAAGGUGAAGUCGAGGCAGUAAUCGGGAACCCAGGUUUUAUACAUUACGAAUAAAGCUGGCACGUUUCCAUUUCUCCUGGGCAAAUAUUUAGAAGAAAAGUUGCUGGGUAAUUGGUGGAGACAAGGUUUCGCCACAUUGACUGGGCUGGUCUGGAACUCCUGAGCUCAAGCAACCGGCCCUCCUUGACCUCCCAAAGUGCUAGGAUUACAGGAUUAAAAAUAUGCAUGGAGCUGUCAUCGCCUAUGAAAACAAUGCCUUCUUCUGGAUACCUCCUGAAGGACUUGCCUGAGGCUGUUUUACAGUUACU